rnacentral:rRNA from 1 species
CGGUUGAUCCUGCCGGAGGUCACUGCUAUCGGGGUUCGAUUAAGCCAUGCGAGUUGAGAGGGUUAAGACCCUCAGCGGACUGCUCAGUAACACGUGGAUAACCUGCCCUAAGGUGGAGAAUAACCCCGGGAAACUGGGGAUAAUACUCCAUAGACUAGAGCUACUGGAAUGUUCUUUAGUCGAAAGUUGAGGCGCCUUAGGAUGGAUCUGCGGUCGAUUAGGUUGUUGUUGGGGUAACGGCCCAACAAGCCUGUAAUCGAUACGGGUUGUGGGAGCAAGAGCCCGGAGAUGGAAUCUGAGACACGAUUCCAGGCCCUACGGGGCGCAGCAGGCGCGAAAACUUUACAAUGCAGGAAACUGUGAUAAGGGAACCCCGAGUGCCCGUAUACGCGGGCUGUCCAGGUGUUUAAAAAGCAUCUGAAGAAAGGGCCGGGCAAGACCGGUGCCAGCCGCCGCGGUAAUACCGGCGGCUCGAGUGGUGGCCACUAUUAUUGGGCUUAAAGCGUCCGUAGCUGGACCCUUAAGUCUCUUGGGAAAUCCGCCGGCUUAACCGGCGGGCAUCCAGGAGAUACUGAGUGUCUAGGGACCGGGAGAGGUGAGAGGUACUCCGGGGGUAGGAGUGAAAUCCUGUAAUCCCCGGGGGACCACCGAUGGCGAAGGCAUCUCACCAGAACGGCUCCGACAGUGAGGGACGAAAGCUGGGGGAGCGAACCGGANUANAUACCCGGGUAGUCCCAGCCGUAAACUAUGCGCGUUANGUGUACUGGUGACCAUGAGUCACUGGGGUGCCNAAGGNAAACCGUGAAACGUGCCGCCUGGNAAGUACGGUCGCAAGGCUGAAACUNNNNNAAUUGGNNGGGGAGCACNNGGGCGAAUUC